UUAGGGAGGUCGUACGUGACCUGCGGAGGGAUCAUUACACAAAUAUGAAGGCGGGCUGGAACCUCUCGGGGUUACAGCCUUGCUGAAUUAUUCACCCUUGUCUUUUGCGUACUUCUUGUUUCCUUGGUGGGUUCGCCCACCACUAGGACAAACAUAAACCUUUUGUAAUUGCAAUCAGCGUCAGUAACAAAUUAAUAAUUACAACUUUCAACAACGGAUCUCUUGGUUCUGGCAUCGAUGAAGAACGCAGCGAAAUGCGAUAAGUAGUGUGAAUUGCAGAAUUCAGUGAAUCAUCGAAUCUUUGAACGCACAUUGCGCCCUUUGGUAUUCCAAAGGGCAUGCCUGUUCGAGCGUCAUUUGUACCCUCAAGCUUUGCUUGGUGUUGGGCGUCUUGUCUCUAGCUUUGCUGGAGACUCGCCUUAAAGUAAUUGGCAGCCGGCCUACUGGUUUCGGAGCGCAGCACAAGUCGCACUCUCUAUCAGCAAAGGUCUAGCAUCCAUUAAGCCUUUUUUUCAACUUUUGACCUCGGAUCAGGUAGGGAUACCCGCUGAACUUA
rnacentral:rRNA from 1 species